rnacentral:rRNA from 1 species
GACGAACGCUGGCGGCGUGCUUAACACAUGCAAGUCGUACGGUAAGGCCCUUUCGGGGGUACACGAGUGGCGAACGGGUGAGUAACACGUGAGUAACCUGCCCACAACUUUGGGAUAACGCUAGGAAACUGGUGCUAAUACUGGAUAUGUGCUCCUGCUGCAUGGUGGGGGUUGGAAAGCUCCGGCGGUUGUGGAUGGACUCGCGGCCUAUCAGCUUGUUGGUGGGGUAGUGGCCUACCAAGGCGGCGACGGGUAGCCGGCCUGAGAGGGUGACCGGCCACAUUGGGACUGGGAUACGGCCCAGACUCCUACGGGAGGCAGCAGUGGGGAAUAUUGCACAAUGGGCGCAAGCCUGAUGCAGCAACGCCGCGUGCGGGAUAACGGCCUUCGGGUUGUAAACCGCUUUCAGCAGGGACGAAGCUUUUUGUGACGGUACCUGCAGAAGAAGCACCGGCUAACUACGUG